CUUGAGGGAGCCCAGCAUCAGGGGCUGACCACCGUCGCGUGCGCUGCCGUAGGUGGCGAGGAGGGCCUGCGCUUC
rnacentral:antisense_RNA from 1 species